GCUUUGUUCAUCUUUUUCUCAUUCUAUAGUCACUGAGAGACCAGCAUUCGUUACAACUCCAACAAAUAAACUAUUAGUUGUUCUGGAGCGUUUCAAGAUUCUAGAGUUUUCCUUUUCAUACUCUAAAACAGAACAACUCGUAGCAUUUGUGCAAUCCUUGCAAUCUGAGGAUAAAGAACAACACCACCUUCACAACUGCAAACAAAUCCUGAAGCUGCGCUAUAGGGAUUGAAUGCGUGUGUAAUAUACGAAAGAAGAAAUUCUUCCUAGUCAACUGGGGGACAGUGCUUCCUGAAAUAGGCCAUGAUGAAACUUGGCCCUAAUUAUUGGUUUAGAAACACUGAAGAGGACUGUGGCAAAUCCUGAGAAGAGGAAAUAGCAUCUUGGAAGGCAUCCUCCUCAGUGACUUGUUGCCUGGAGACAUUUGCCAAGUAAAGAAGAGAAACCAAGAGUCUGAGCAGUACUUUUAAUGGCCUCAUGGAGGGAGAAUGGUAAAAGUUGGAUUCCAAGACCUGCAAAGGAGGAGUAGUUAUGGUAAGCCACUUACCAUUAACCCCAAAGGGCUGAACCCUGGAAACACUGGUGAACAGGAAAUAGAUCAGUCCUCACAGGUACUAUGUGUCAUGUCAUGUCAAUCUCCAGAAUUUGAUUAUGUUUAUUCAUAAGUGCUAAUGUCUCAGAGUGUCUUCCCUGCUUGAA